rnacentral:rRNA from 1 species
UACGGAGGGGACUAGCGUUGUUCGGAAUUACUGGGCGUAAAGCGCACGUAGGCGGAUUUCUAAGUCAGGGGUGAAAUCCUGGAGCUCAACUCCAGAACUGCCUUUGAUACUGGGAAUCUCGAGUCCGGGAGAGGUGAGUGGAAUUCCUGGUGUAGCGGUGAAAUGCGUAGAUAUCCGGAGGAACACCAGCGGCGAAGGCGGCUUUCUGGUCCGAUUCUGACGCUGAGGCGCGAAAGCGUGGGGAGCGAUCCGG